rnacentral:rRNA from 1 species
CAUACCUAUUCCAAGGGAUAGGGUCGGCUCGGCCGGAUUUUACACAAGUGUUGCAUGGCUGUCGUCAGCUCGUGUCGUGAGAUGUUGGGUUAAGUCCCGCAACGAGCGCAACCCUCAUCCUUAGUUGCCAUCAGGUAAUGCUGAGUACUUUAAGGAAACUGCCAGUGAUAAGCUGGAGGAAGGUGGGGAUGAUGUCAAGUCAUCAUGGCCUUUAUGGAGUGGGCUACACACGUGCUACAAUGGUGUCUACAAUGGGUUGCAAGGUGCGCAAGCCUAAGCUAAUCCCUAAAAGACAUCUCAGUUCGGAUUGUACUCUGCAACUCGAGUACAUGAAGUUGGAAUCGCUAGUAAUCGUGGAUCAGCAUGCCACGGUGAAUACGUUCUCGGGUCUUGUACACACUGCCCGUCACGCCAUGGGAAUUGGUUUCACUCGAAGCU